rnacentral:rRNA from 1 species
CCCUUAGAUGUUCUGGGCCGCACGCGUGCUACACUGAAGCUAUCAACACGUUUUCCCUCCCUGAGAAGGGCGGGUAACCUUUUGAAUCAGCUUCGUGGUAGGGAUCGGGGCUUGCAAUUGUUCCCCGUGAACCAGGAAUUCCUAGUAGACGCGAGUCAUAAGCUCGCAUCGAUUAAGUCCCUGCCCUUUGUACACACCGCCCGUCGCUACUACCGAUUGAACGUUUUAGUGAGGCAUUUGGACCGACGCAUCUCAGUUUAACCGCUGGUUUGUGUUGGAAAGACUUCCAAACUUGAGCGUUUAGAGGAAGUAAAAGUCGUAACA